AUUAGGGUUUACAGCACAAGUAUAUAAAGCUGUGACCACACGAUGCUAACCAUCUUCAUCUGAUAGCACUGACACGUUUUGUUCAAUGAGGUCAAUUGCAAUAUCAUGAUCAAAAUGGUCGAGUUCUUAUCGAAACAGAAAAGGUAUAAUUUGUAAAGCUGGAGAAAACCUUACAUCCUAUGCAUAGGAAAGUCAUCCACCCAUCUUGUGUCCAUUUAAAUGUUUUACUCGACGCUUUCACAAAAGCUAGGUUGAUGGAUGAAGCCAAGAGGGUUUAUGAGGAGCUAUAAACCUUUGGUAUAGUUCCUGAUCUUGUAUGUUAUCGUACCCUGCUGAAAUGUGGAAAGCAUGAAUGAACUAUUUUGAAAGCAUACGCGAGUCAACAAAAG
rnacentral:sRNA from 1 species